AUUGAACGCUGGCGGCAGGCUUAACACAUGCAAGUCGAGCGAGCGGCGGACGGGUGAGUAAUGUCUGGGAAACUGCCUGAUGGAGGGGGAUAACUACUGGAAACGGUAGCUAAUACCGCAUACCAUCAGAUGUGCCCAGAUGGGAUUAGCUAGUAGGUGGGGUAAUGGCUCACCUAGGCGACGAUCCCUAGCUGGUCUGAGAGGAUGACCAUCCACACUGGAACUGAGACACGGGCCCGCCUCCUACGGGAGGCAGCCGUGGGGAAUAUUUCACAAUGGGCGCAAUCCUGAAUCAGCCAUGCCGCGGUGGUGAAGAAGGCCUUCGGGUUGGAAAGCACUUUCAGCGAGGAGGCGUUACUCGCAGAAGAAGCACCGGCUAACUCCGGGCCAGCAGCCGCGGUAAUUC
rnacentral:rRNA from 1 species